rnacentral:misc_RNA from 1 species
AGUAUCUCCUUCAAAUACCAGGUAUUUCCAUUUCAAGAUUGAGAAUUUGUACCUUUUUCGUUCACUUUUAAUGUUUUUAACAUCUGGGUUUUGAAGUAAAGUUCGCUUUGUUAAAUCGAAUGAAGUCAUUACAGUGGACUGUUUGAUGAGGUGGUGAAAUUGAACGUGGGAUAUUCUUGUGCUAAAUCCUAAUAUUGUUUUUUAAUGGAUUGCUAUUGGAAGUAGCAAAAUUUUAUUCUUUAUGGUUUUGUUUUGUUUGUUUUCGGUUGUGCUUGGUUGAUCUGGGUUUUAGAAAGCUCUGGGUUUUUAGAAAACUCUUUUAGCAGUGAAUUCUGAUUGAUCUGGCGUGUAUUAUCUUGAUUUUGUUUUGAGAUUUGGCUAUGAGAGGCAAUGGUGGGCAACUUGAUCAAGC